rnacentral:rRNA from 1 species
GAUGAACGCUGGCGGCGUGCCUAACACAUGCAAGUCGAACGGAGUCCAGCCUUAGAGACCUUCGGGUCAAAGAGGGGAAGACUGAGUGGCGGACGGGUGAGUAACACGUGGGCAACCUGGCUCAUAGAGGGGGAUAACAGAGAGAAAUUUCUGCUAAUACCGCAUAAGCACACACUGCCGCAUGGCAGAGGGUGAAAAGAGAAUCGCUAUGAGAUGGACCCGCGUCUGAUUAGCCAGUUGGCAGGGUAAGAGCCUACCAAAGCGACAAUCAGUAGCCGAUCUGAGAGGAUGAACGGCCACAUUGGGACUGAGACACGGCCCAAACUCCUACGGGAGGCAGCAGUGGGGGAUAUUGCACAAUGGGGGGAACCCUGAUGCAGCGACGCCGCGUGAGUGAAGAAGUAUUUCGGUAUGUAAAGCUCUAUCAGCAGGGAAGAUA